rnacentral:rRNA from 1 species
UGCAGUCGAACGGCAGCACGGGAGCUUGCUCCUGGUGGCGAGUGGCGAACGGGUGAGUAAUGUAUCGGAACGUAUCCAAUAAUGGGGGAUAACGAGUCGAAAGACUUGCUAAUACCGCAUACGCCCUACGGGGGAAAGCAGGGGAUCGCAAGACCUUGCGUUAAUGGAGCGGCCGAUAUCUGAUUAGCUAGUUGGUGGGGUAAAGGCCCACCAAGGCUUUGAUCAGUAGCUGGUCUGAGAGGACGACCAGCCACACUGGAACUGAGACACGGUCCAGACUCCUACGGGAGGCAGCAGUGGGGAAUUUUGGACAAUGGGCGCAAGCCUGAUCCAGCCAUUCCGCGUGAGUGAAGAAGGCCUUCGGGUUGUAAAGCUCUUUCGCGAGGGAAGAAAACUUAUCCUCUAACACAGGGUGAGGCUGACGGUACCUUGAUAAGAAGCACCGGCUAACUACGUGCCAGCAGCCGCGGUAAUACGUAGGGUGCGAGCGUUAAUCGGAAUUACUGGGCGUAAAGCGUGCGCAGGCGGUUCUGUAAGUCAGAUGUGAAAUCCCCGGGCUCAACCUGGGAACUGCGUUUGAAACUACAGGACUAGAGUAUGGCAGAGGGGGGUAGAAUUCCACGUGUAGCAGUGAAAUGCGUAGAGAUGUGGAGGAAUAC